UGGAGAAGCACCAGUUGGCAUUGCUAUCAGAACAGACCAGUUCUUUUAAAGAAGACUGAUGAAGCUAUUUUUUAAAAACACCUCAUAACAUUACAGAUGAGAAUCUGAUCUCUGCAAAGGACAGGGAUGAACAGUUGCAGGAAGGAGGAGGCAGAACAGCAUGGAAGCAGGCAGCAUGCUGAUGGUGGAGGAGAGAGCGUGCCCUACCACAGAAGGUGAAGGAGCCAGCAUGGCCUUUGACCUUCUCCCACGGACCAGCUACAGGACUGGGGCCUUACAGAAGGCAGACCUGAGACAGGACCCGAGAGGUCGGCGCGGGGAACUGGAAAUCUCAGGAAAGCAAGGCAGAGGGAGGCGGAAGGUGCUGGCCCCUCAGGGGACCUUUCCCCCUGCCGUCUCAGGCUUGGGCCGGGGGGCAGCACC